AGUGAACGCUGGCGGUAGGCCUAACACAUGCAAGUCGAACGGCAGCACAGUAAGAGCUUGCUCUUACGGGUGGCGAGUGGCGGACGGGUGAGGAAUACAUCGGAAUCUACUUUUUCGUGGGGGAUAACGUAGGGAAACUUACGCUAAUACCGCAUACGACCUACGGGUGAAAGCAGGGGAUCUUCGGACCUUGCGCGAUUGAAUGAGCCGCUGUCGGAUUAGCUAGUUGGCGGGGUAAAUGCCCACCAAGGCGGCGAUCCGUAGCUGGUGUGAGAGGCUGGUCAGCGACACUGGAACUGGGACACGGUCCAGACUCCUAAGGGAGGCAGCAGUGGGGAAUAUUGGACAAUGGGGGCAAGCCUGAUCCAGCCAUAGCGCGUGGGUGAAGAAGGCCUUCGGGUUGUAAAGCCCUUUUGUUGGGAAAGAAAAGCAGCAGGUUAAUACCCCGCUGUUCUGACGGUACCCAAAGAAUAAGCACCGGCUAACUUCGUG
rnacentral:rRNA from 1 species